AAUUAGUUAAGGAAAUCAAGAGGCAGAAAGUAAUAUUUAAAUACGUUACGUACAGAAGGAACAGCAGGGUGGAAAUCAUGUUUACAAGUUGUUGCAAUAGCUUGUGCAACUAAGGAUGCCCAGAGGCCCAAAUCCUAAACCUUUACUCCCGUAAGAAAGGACGAUGGUAGGGACCUCAACAGAACUUUGGUCAUGAGAAGCCUGUUUGCAAAGCUGGACUUCUGAUAUUUCGUGCAAGACUGUUUUGCACGUUUUCUGCACAAUUAUAAUUUGAGCAUAUUACUACAAAUUUAAUAACGGAUUUCUACUACACCAAGAUAACAAUCCUGCAAUUAGGGGAGAUGGAAAAUCAAAACAACCGUUGAACUCCAGAAAGAUCAAGGAUGUCAGUCCAAUCAUCCCUCGUUUACACUGCUGAUCUAGACGACAGAGUAUUGACAAAACCUUGUCUCCUAGGAAACAUCAUGGAGAUGAAAAAAAACAAGUCAGCUCAUAAAACUUCUCUGCACAUUGUCAGUCCAAAGCUUGCAACAAUAUUUAAAGUAAUGUCAGGGUUACUAAAUGUUUGGGAGUUUGAAGCUAGCUGAUGUGAACUAUAGCCAUUUCCUAAUUCACCCUAUUCUACUUUUGAUCAUCACUACAGCAGUCGACGUGUCCAAAGUGUUGUGGUUCAAAAAUAGAUCUAUGCUACUCAAAGCUUACAAGCAGGGCCAGACACAGGCAUGGGCUAACCAGGCGGUUGCCUGGGGCCCGAACAGAAAGGGGGCCCAAAAAAUGAAAAUGAAAUGAAAGUGAUUACAGGCAGUCCAACUUGCAUCGUUUCAAGUUACAAUGUUUCGCACUUACAACAUUUAUGAAUUGACACCCAGUUUCAACUUUAUGAUGUCAGUUUCAACUUUACAAUGCUUGAUCCGAUGUGAUGCCAUGCCAGCAAACAAGUUCACUGCAUCACUCAUCUCCUUGGAGAACAUCUGUCCAAACUUCCUUGGACGCUUUUUUGAAGAAAGCAGACAAGACUCCAGAAAAACCUAUAGCCAAGACUCCUGAGAAGACUCCAGCCAAGAACCCUUCAAAAAGUCCAGCAAAGUCACCUCAAAGAAGUCCUUCCAAAUCAAUAUAAUUGCUAUUUACAAUAUAAAUACGUUAAUGUAGCUAUAUUACUCAUCUAUAAUUGAUCAGGUACAAAAUUCUGGGGUAUUUUUGGUGAAAAUAGAGCAUCAGGCCUUGGUUCAGGAACCAAUCCACCAUUCAUAACAUUGUUUCUUAUGAAAAAAUUGGUUCCAAGUUACGUUUCGACUUAAGACGUGGUUUUCAGGAACCAAUUGCAUUGUUAAGUCCGAGGACUGCCUGUAUUAUUAUCAUUAUCUAUGGCAAAGGGAGGGCCGAUACUAAAAGUUCACCCGGGGCCUCCAGGAGUCUAGGUACGGUGCUGCUUCUAAGCCAGAAUGAAACAGACCUACAAGAUAGUGGUGCAUGGAGAACAACUACGUUAUACGUGAAAUGCUAGAGAUCAGUUUUCUUAGCACAAUCCUUCAUUCUGGUCUAGGUACUUGGGACUACAUAGAUAAAGUCUACUAUGCAAUGAAUGGAAACAUUUAAGAGAAGUGCCACUGCAAAGCAGUAGGUGUAACUUGCUAGCAAACAACUUGGGGAGCUGGUGUUACAAUGUUCUUUAACAGUGCCAGCCUCUUCCAUUCCAACAACCAAGAUAAUCUUUCCUCUGGGAAGAGUUACCACUAUUAAGUAGUUCUAGGAUUUGCUGCAGUAUCUGUAUAUAUAUAUAUAUAUAUAUAUAUAUAUAUAGCUAUUGUCCAAGUUAAGACAAGAUACAAACAGGUGGAUAUGAACAGAUGGGGAAGCACACGGAAAGAAGUUGAUUACAAAACGUAAAAAGCAAUGAUCACAGUGUACCAGCUGCCUUGCCACAGUUAACAACAGCCCUUUUUUUUUGUUGGCAUCACAGCAGAGGAAAUUUUUAAAGGGAAGAUUUAGAAGAAAAGCAAUGUGGCAGUGUUGUGGAAGGAGCUUUUUGGUCAGGUCCAAGAACAGCAAGAGCAUGGGAAAUAUUUUGUUGCCUGCUGAAAUUUUGACAAAAAUAUUUUCCUGCAGUUAUUCCCUAUUUACCUUUGUGCACACUGGGCUAGAACUUGGCACUGAUGCCAGCACUCCCAGGCCUGCCACUGCUGCUACUACUUUCUAGUUAUGCUCUAGCGGCAUUUGUAAGAGGUACGAGGAAUUGUUGAACAGGGACAAGAACUGAAUCUGCUUGGUAAACCUGGAUGGAGAAACACAGUUCCCUUUAUUAAAACUCCUCUUUAAACAGUGUAAUCAAUAUAAAAGAGGAGAAAAGGUGAGUAUCCUUUCUUAAAUAUUUCAAUACGAAACCUGUCCAAAAAUCUUCCAUGCUUUUAGGAACUAUAUGAGCCACAAGCAAGUGAACUGUGCAUUCAGAGAUAUGAAAAGCUGCUAUAAUACAGUCUUCACUGAUUAAAAGAGGG